UUGAAAUUUGGGAUUGGAAAAAUUCUAAUUUUUUCUUUCUUUUGUUUUUUGUUUUUUUUGGGGAUAGAACCCCCCGAUUUCUCAUAUCGCAUUCAAUAGUCUCAUUUUCCCCAACUCGACCUUGCAACACUACUACCAACGCAACAUGCCUUCCUUCCUCAUGGGCAUGUCCCCGACCAUGUCGUCACUCCCUUCAUCUCCGUCGGUGGUCUCUCCGUCGCCGCCCUCUUCGAUUGAUUUGCCGGUGCGGCCCGUUCCCGGAACUUAUGGCUUGCCGUUUCUCGGCCCAUUCUCCGACCGUUUAGACUACUCCUGGUUCCAGAAGCCGGAGGCCUUCUUCAGGAAGCGGAUCGACAAGUACAGGAGCACCGUGUUCCGUACCAAUGUCCCUCCCUCCUUCCCUUUCUUCACCAACGUCAACCCAAACGUCGUCGCUUUGCUCGAUUGCAAGUCCUUCGCUCACCUCUUUGACGUCGACCUCAUCGACAAGAAGAACGUCCUCGUUGGAGAUUUCAUGCCCAGCGUCGCCUUCACCGGCAACAUCAGGGUCGGCGUUUAUCAGGACACUUCCGAGCCUCAACACUCCAAGUUGAAAAAGUUCGCCAUUGAUAUCCUGAGACGGAGCUCCGGCGUAUGGGCAGCUGAACUCGUAUCCAAUCUUGACGUGAUGUGGGACAACAUUGAAUCGACACUCUCCAAAUCCAGUUCCGCCGGCUACAUCUUCCCGCUGCAGAGAUGCCUCUUCGCUUUCCUCUGCAAAGUGCUAGCCGGCGCCGAUGUUUCCCGCAACCUCGAUAUAGCCAGUUCCGGUUACGCAAUGCUCGACCGGUGGCUCGCCCUCCAGAUACUUCCCACCACCCCUAUCGGUGUUCUUCAACCUCUAGAGGAGAUUUUCCUUCACUCUUUUGCCUAUCCUUUCUUCCUGGUUAGCGGAGACUACAAUAAACUUUACCAAUUCGUUAAAAAAGAAGGUAAGGAAGUCAUAGAAAGGGGUGAAACCGAGUUUGGGCUGAGUCAAGAAGAUGCGAUUCACAACUUGCUGUUCGUGCUGGGUUUCAACGCGUUUGGCGGGUUUUCUGUUUUCCUACCCAGUUUGAUAGACACCAUAGCAACCGACGAUACCGGAUUACAAGAGAAGCUGAGGACAGAAGCGAGGGAAAAGGGCGGGCCUACCCUGAGCCUCGACUCCAUCAAAGAGAUGCAUCUCAUUCGAUCUGUAGUGUACGAAACUCUCCGGUUAAACCCGCCGGUUCCGCUCCAAUACGGCCGGGCCAGGAAGGAUUUCCGGCUGUGCUCGCAUGAGUCGGCGUUUGAGAUCAAGAAGGGGGAGCUGCUCUGUGGGUACCAGAAGCUGGUGAUGCGGGACCCGGUCGUGUUUGACGACCCGGAGAGUUUCAAACCGGAUCGGUUCACGGAAGAGAAAGGCGGCGUACGGUUGUUAGGCUACUUGUAUUGGUCCAACGGGCCUCAAUCCGGGUCGCCGAGCGAGUUCAAUAAACAGUGUCCUGGUAAGGAUGUGGUCACCCUCACAGCGUCCUUGAUUUUGGCCCACUUGUUUCGCAGAUACGAUUCCAUCAAGGGAAAUACAACUUCCAUCACAGCCGUUGAAAAGGCCAAAUAACGAAGGGCCAGGAUUUGUUUGUUUGUGAUGACGUACUGGAUACUGAUGGGGGAGACUGAGAUGAGACGCUGCUUGUUCUCAAUAUCGCGGUUACUUCGUAGAUCUGAAGUGAGUCAUUUUCAGCGUGUUGCCGCCUUGAAAUGCAUUGAGCAUCCAGGACAGAGUUUUGGGCAUUCAGAUUUUGGAUACGUAACCUUGAAAGUCGGAUGCUUGAGUUGUGUAGUUGCAUUUUCAACUCAAGAAGUCAUACACCUUACUCAUUCCCGUGUAUAGAACUCAGUGUGAGGGCCGCAUUUCUCCAACAUAAGAUCCAGUCUGGUUUAGAAUGCAGGCGUUUCAGCCGCUCUACUUUCAUUCUGUCCUAUGUUUUCAUUUGUUUGUUGUACGGAGAACAAUUUCAGGAAGCUGGAUAAUGACAUAAGAUCUCUUUUGAUAAA